rnacentral:rRNA from 1 species
AUUGAACGCUGGCGGCAGGCCUAACACAUGCAAGUCGAACGGUAACAGGAAGCAGCUUGCUGCUUUGCUGACGAGUGGCGGACGGGUGAGUAAUGUCUGGGAAACUGCCUGAUGGAGGGGGAUAACUACUGGAAACGGUAGCUAAUACCGCAUAACGUCGCAAGACCAAAGAGGGGGACCUUCGGGCCUCUUGCCAUCGGAUGUGCCCAGAUGGGAUUAGCUAGUAGGUGGGGUAACGGCUCACCUAGGCGACGAUCCCUAGCUGGUCUGAGAGGAUGACCAGCCACACUGGAACUGAGACACGGCCCAGACUCCUACGGGAGGCAGCAGUGGGGAAUAUUGCACAAUGGGCGCAAGCCUGAUGCAGCCAUGCCGCGUGUAUGAAGAAGGCCUUCGGGUUGUAAAGUACUUUGCAGCGGGGAGGAAGGCGAUAAGGUUAAUAACCUUGUUCGAUUGACGUUACCCGCAGAAGAGCACCGGCUAACU